rnacentral:rRNA from 1 species
UAAGCCUGUGAAGGUGGCCUGUGAGGGUUGCUGGAGGUAUCAGAAGUGCGAAUGCUGACAUAAGUAACGAUAAAGCGGGUGAAAAGCCCGCUCGCCGGAAGACCAAGGGUUCCUGUCCAACGUUAAUCGGGGCAGGGUGAGUCGACCCCUAAGGCGAGGCCGAAAGGCGUAGUCGAUGGGAAACGGGUUAAUAUUCCCGUACUUGGUGUUACUGCGAAGGGGGGACGGAGAAGGCUAUGUUGGCCGGGCGACGGUUGUCCCGGUUUAAGCGUGUAGGUGUGUGUUCCAGGUAAAUCCGGUUCACUUUAACACUGAGGCGUGACGACGAGGCACUACGGUGCUGAAGCAACAAAUGCCCUGCUUCCAGGAAAAGCCUCUAAGCAUCAGGUAACAUCAAAUCGUACCCCAAACCGACACAGGUGGUCAGGUAGAGAAUACCAAGGCGCUUGAGAGAACUCGGGUGAAGGAACUAGGCAAAAUGGUGCCGUAACUUCGGGAGAAGGCACGCUGACAUGUAGGUGAAGUGAUUUACUCAUGGAGCUGAAGUCAGUCGAAGAUACCAGCUGGCUGCAACUGUUUAUUAAAAACACAGCACUGUGCAAACACGAAAGUGGACGUAUACGGUGUGACGCCUGCCCGGUGCCGGAAGGUUAAUUGAUGGGGUCAGCGCAAGCGAAGCUCCUGAUCGAAGCCCCGGUAAACGGCGGCCGUAACUAUAACGGUCCUAAGGUAGCGAAAUUCCUUGUCGGGUAAGUUCCGACCUGCACGAAUGGCGUAAUGAUGGCCAGGCUGUCUCCACCCGAGACUCAGUGAAAUUGAACUCGCUGUGAAGAUGCAGUGUACCCGCGGCAAGACGGAAAGACCCCGUGAACCUUUACUAUAGCUUGACACUGAACAUUGAGCCUUGAUGUGUAGGAUAGGUGGGAGGCUUUGAAGUGUGGACGCCAGUCUGCAUGGAGCCGACCUUGAAAUACCACCCUUUAAUGUUUGAUGUUCUAACGUGGACCCGUAAUCCGGGUUGCGGACAGUGUCUGGUGGGUAGUUUGACUGGGGCGGUCUCCUCCUAAAGAGUAACGGAGGAGCACGAAGGUUGGCUAAUCCUGGUCGGACAUCAGGAGGUUAGUGCAAUGGCAUAAGCCAGCUUGACUGCGAGCGUGACGGCGCGAGCAGGUGCGAAAGCAGGUCAUAGUGAUCCGGUGGUUCUGAAUGGAAGGGCCAUCGCUCAACGGAUAAAAGGUACUCCGGGGAUAACAGGCUGAUACCGCCCAAGAGUUCAUAUCGACGGCGGUGUUUGGCACCUCGAUGUCGGCUCAUCACAUCCUGGGGCUGAAGUAGGUCCCAAGGGUAUGGCUGUUCGCCAUUUAAAGUGGUACGCGAGCUGGGUUUAGAACGUCGUGAGACAGUUCGGUCCCUAUCUGCCGUGGGCGCUGGAGAACUGAGGGGGGCUGCUCCUAGUACGAGAGGACCGGAGUGGACGCAUCACUGGUGUUCGGGUUGUCAUGCCAAUGGCACUGCCCGGUAGCUAAAUGCGGAAGAGAUAAGUGCUGAAAGCAUCUAAGCACGAAACUUGCCCCGAGAUGAGUUCUCCCUGAGACUUAGAGUCUCCUGAAGGAACGUUGAAGACGACGACGUUGAUAGGCCGGGUGUGUAAGCGCAGCGAUGCGUUGAGCUAACCGGUACUAAUGAACCGUGAGGCUUAACCUUACA